rnacentral:rRNA from 1 species
GACGAACGCUGGCGGCGUGCUUAACACAUGCAAGUCGAACGGAAAGGCCCUGCUUUUGUGGGGUGCUCGAGUGGCGAACGGGUGAGUAACACGUGAGUAACCUGCCCUUGACUUUGGGAUAACUUCAGGAAACUGGGGCUAAUACCGGAUAGGAGCUCCUGCUGCAUGGUGGGGGUUGGAAAGUUUCGGCGGUUGGGGAUGGACUCGCGGCUGAUCAGCUAGUUGGUGGGGUAGUGGCUUACCAAGGCGAAGACGGGUAGCUGGUAUGAGAGGGUGACCGGCUACACGGGGACUGAGACACGGACACGAGUCGUACGGGAGGGAGCAGAGGGGAAUAUGAGACAAUGGGGGAAACCCUGAUCUAGCCAUGCCGAGUGAGGGAUGAAGGCGUUAGGGUUGUAAAGCUCUGUCAGCUGGGAAGAUAAUGACGGUAACAGCAGAAGAAGCCCCGGCUAACUCCGUG